GUGCCCCGUGUCUGGCCCCACCCCCCACCGCCACCACCAGCAUCUCCCGCGUGGCUCACGGGACGCCCCCAGGUGCCCUCCUGGCCCUCUCCCCGCAGCCAAGCCCCCUAGGAGCGAGACUGCCUGGCCAGGUUGGCCUGGGGGCUGUGCGGCAGCAGGGUUCUGUUCUGUCUCCCAGCGGGAGGGGCUGUGACCUGUGGUCCUCCUGACCCCCCUCCCCCGCUGCGCAGUCUGACCUCCUAGCCGUGCAGGCGGCUGGGGCACUGCUCCAUGUCAUGGCAGUUGCAAGGCAAGCUGUGCUGUUGGCGCCUCCUACCAGCUCCUCUCGGGCCCAGCGUGGCCAGAGGGGCUUCCCGUCUGCCUGAGCUCAUCCACUGAGCGUUCCUCGCAAGGACCCCACACCCUCGGAGCAGGGCAGGAUCACCCACAGUUACGAGCCUUCCCUAGGACAUGCACCUGCAGGCCCCUGGGGAGCUCUGUGUUCUGAAUUCUAGAGCAUCAGUUCUCCAGCCACCCCCAUCUUCACCCGCUACCCCCAGGAAAUGUUCUGCUCUGGCCGGCAGAGUUCUCCCCAGAUGUCACUCCUCGCCACUGGCACAUGCCAGGGAGGGUCUGUGCUGGAGCUGCUCACGUGCCCUCCCCUCCCCGGCCUCCUGUGCUGGUGGCCGGGGGGGCCACAGGGUCGCUAAGAGCAAGCCUGAGUGUCUUGGGGUCUGCAGAAAGCAACUGGGACCAGAACAGGGCCCGCGGCGGGGCUUGCCUGCACCCUUCCUCCGUUUGCCCUCAUGCCCACGUGGCUCUUGGUGUCUGAGAUCCUGGAAGCCUGGGCUCGGGUUUGGGUGCACCCCCUCACGGCGUGAGGCAGCCCCCCGCGCCUCGACCCAGGCUCCACUGGCUGGGGAGGCCGUAGGAAGGCCCUCCCCCCCCACUGGUGCGUCCCUGGCCGUCCCCAUGCAGGGCGGGUCUUGAAGCGUGGUGCCCAGCUCACUUCCCUGGCGACGGGGCUGUGCGCCUGCCUGGCUUCGGUCUUGAAGGCCCCCGUCUCCUGUGGGGCUCCGGGCCAACCCCAUGUGCUGGGUGAGGCAGGCUUCCCCCUCUUGCCCACCCCCGUCUCUUGCGGGGCCAGCUCACCCGGGCCCCCCCACUGCAUGCAUGCAGGACUCUGACCCCACACCUACCCAGCCAUGUCUUGAACACAGGGCAGGUUCCGCGCCAGAGUAGGGGAUCAGGGGAUGCCGCCCGGGGGCCUGGUGCUGGCCGAGUGGGCAUGCAACAAGAUCCUGGCUGGAAAGAGAGGGCCGCCCCCAGCCUGUUCACCGGGAGGUGUUCACCGGGAGGGACUGUGCUGUGCCGUUCUGUCUCUGUAACAUAAAUACAGAUUUUAAGCCUCGCCUCUGUCUUCCCGUUCUUUCCGUCCCUGUGUUGGGCUUCCCUCCCCAGUGCCCUGGGCGGCCUCGGCGGUCCUCACCACCGUAUCGGGAGCCUCGGCUUUCUGGGAGACCCUGCAGACCACGGGCCUCCCCUUCCUAGGAGCCGGCCUCUGGGACCAGCGUCAGAGCUGCCUCCCUGGACGUCCCCUGGAGGUGAAGGUGGGGCUGAGGUGGAAGCCAUCCCCCUGCCAUCCUGGGUCUGUUUGCCAGGCGGGAGGUCUUGCUGCCAGCCUCAGACUCAGCCCCUGGGGCUGGGGCACUGCCCAGGGACAGGGGGGCCCUCAGGGCGUCCCGGGCCGGCCAGCUGAGCGUUGCCGGCGCCUCAGCCACCGCCGUGUCAUGUGCCCUUCGCGCAUGGCGGCCACUGGCUCAGGGCAGCUCUGGGAGAAGCCCCGGGACCUGGCCUUGGUGUCUCCAGAACGCCCUGUUGUGCAGGUGGGGGUGUGAGGCCCCAGGGGUGGAGAGCUGGGGUGGGGCUUUCCUGGGAACCAGCCUGCGAUCCCGGCUGGCCGCAGCCCAGUGAGGUGGCUCCCUGAGGUCUGCGGGCAGGUGAGGGGCGCCUGCGGGAGGGGAUUUGGAGGGACCCCUGGGUACUCUGAGUUCCUCCUCCGUCCCCCAGCAGAAAGCAGUACUCCAGCCUCUUGUACUGGGCAAGUCCCUGGGGGCACCUCUAGGAGAGAAGAGAACCCUGCCAGGAACACAGCUGGGGCCUUGAGCCACCAGCACUUGGGCCUGAAUGAGAAUGCGGAUAUCUGAAUUCCAACUGUUACUAUGAGUUUAAAUCACUACCACUUUAAAAAAAAAAUUCUUAAUUUUUUUGGCUGAGCCACACAGCAUGUGGGAUCUUAGUUCCCCAACUAGAGACUGAACCCGUUCCCCCAGAGUGGGAAGUGUGGUCCUAACCACAGGGCCACCGGGAAGGCCUUCCACCUCUUACUGAGGGCAUGAGCGCUUCAGCUGAUGGGUGCUGAGGCCCUCCCCCGGCCCGUGUCACAGGAAGCCGCGUCUCAGGCAGGGCACCUGCCUUCCUCGGGUCACCUGCCGGAAGGUGGUGCCCUGUGACCUGACCCUAGCCCUCUGGGAAGCCUCCACCACCGGAUGCCUUGAGUUUAUAGCCAGGCCCCCUCACCCCACACCCAGGCGGGCCACCUGCCCAUGCUCUCCUUGGUGGCCAGAACAGCCUCCGGUGGUUUUUCUGCCCCGUCGCCUCCAGGAUUAAACCCAGCUGCCUGCCUUCUCCCCAUCCAUUCCUGUGCCUUCGGCUCAGCCCGAGCCCACCCCGGCCCCCUCUGCCCUCCGCACUCCCCUCUGUUCGAAGCUCGAUCUUCCUGUCAGUUUUUAAGGCCGCGAUUUGGCUGCCCAGCUCGGUGCUCGUCUAAGCUGGUUGCUCAGGCUGGGCACUCCUCUCCUUGCCCAGCGCCUUGCUAGACCAGGCCUGCAGGGCACUAGCCCUGGCGGGAUCUCUUGCCCAUUUAGUCCGCAGUGGCUCUCGCCCGCUCCUUCCUCGUUGCCUCCUGGCCUGUCCUGAUGCUCUUUACUGGACCCCACACCCCCUCCAGCAGCUCCGGUGCCCCAGCCCCCACUCCGCCCCCCCGCCCCACCCCCCCCCCACCC
rnacentral:lncRNA from 1 species